rnacentral:rRNA from 1 species
AUGUGGAUUGCUUUAGACCACGUCCCCCUAAUCCUCUCUUCGGAGAAUGAGCGCCCACCCCUACCGCCUAUCUUCUGCUUCGAAACCUUCUGGUUGUGUCAGCCAGGAUUUACCGCCGCGGUGGCCGCCAGGUGGCGCGAGGCGCAGGAUGCCCCCCACCAUGCCCUGUCAGCCGUUGAUUCCUGGCAUUUAUGCGCCAAGCGGUCAUGGCAAUUCACGAAAGGGUGGGGUGCAAACAUGGGCCGUGACAUCCGUGAGCAGAAGAAAGCCCUCCUUGAGGGCAUCCAGGCCCUCGAUUUGCGGGCUGACGUCGUUGGCCUCUUGGCAGACAAAUGGAUGCUUAGAUACGACUUGGAAAAACUCACGAUCAUCUACACUGACGAGGAGGCAUACUGGCGCUUGCGGGGUACGCAUAAUUGGGUCCUCAAGGGGGACACUAAUGCUUCCUACUUUCAGGCUAUUGCUAAUGGCCGUAGACGCCGUAACUCCAUCCCCCUCCCGUGGGAGGGAGCGACCCUCUUACAGCGGCCAGAGGACAUCCGGGCACAUGUA